rnacentral:rRNA from 1 species
GGGUAAUCGAGUUGAUUCGGGCUCCGGCCCGAUCCUCCCACCCUUUGUGUACCUACCUCUGUUGCUUUGGCGGGCCGCGGUCCUCCGCGGCCGCCCCCCUCCCCGGGGGGGUGGCCAGCGCCCGCCAGAGGACCAUCAAACUCCAGUCAGUAAACGAUGCAGUCUGAAAAACAUUUAAUAAACUAAAACUUUCAACAACGGAUCUCUUGGUUCUGGCAUCGAUGAAGAACGCAGCGAAAUGCGAUAAGUAAUGUGAAUUGCAGAAUUCAGUGAAUCAUCGAAUCUUUGAACGCACAUUGCGCCCUUUGGUAUUCCGAAGGGCAUGCCUGUUCGAGCGUCAUUACAACCCUCAAGCUCUGCUUGGUAUUGGGCACCGUCCUUUGCGGGCGCGCCUCAAAGACCUCGGCGGUGGCGUCUUGCCUCAAGCGUAGUAGAACAUACAUCUCGCUUCGGAGCGCAGGGCGUCGCCCGCCGGACGAACCUUCUGAACUUUUCUCAAGGUUGACCUCGGAUCAGGUAGGGAUACCCGCUGAACUUAAGCAUAUCAAUAAGCGGAGGAA